rnacentral:tRNA from 1 species
GCAUCCAAAAUUCCUGCCUUCCGAAGGCAGAGGCCAUAGGUUCGAAUCCUUUCGGGUGCG